GAUGAACGCUGGCGGCGUGCUUAACACAUGCAAGUCGAACGAAGCAUUUAGGACAGAUUACUUCGGUUUGAAGUUCUUUAUGACUGAGUGGCGGACGGGUGAGUAACGCGUGGGUAACCUGCCUUGUACUGGGGGAUAGCAGCUGGAAACGGCUGGUAAUACCGCAUAAGCGCACAAUGUUGCAUGACAUGGUGUGAAAAACUCCGGUGGUAUAAGAUGGACCCGCGUCUGAUUAGCUAGUUGGUGAGAUAACAGCCCACCAAGGCGACGAUCAGUAGCCGACCUGAGAGGGUGCCCGGCCACAUUGGGACUGAGACACGGCCCAGACUCCUACGGGAGGCAGCAGUGGGGAAUAUUGCACAAUGGAGGAAACUCUGAUGCAGCGACGCCGCGUGAGUGAAGAAGUAAUUCGUUAUGUAAAGCUCUAUCAGCAGGGAAGAUAGUGACGGUACCUGACGAAGAAGCUCCGGCUAAAUACGUG
rnacentral:rRNA from 1 species